UCUUCUCUCCUCUCCGAUGAGUUCCCUUCAUCUUCUCCAGCCACCUUCUGACAUGAGUCCAUGGUGAUUUUACCACCCACCAAGCCACAUAUGGCUUCUCACAUUGGUUAACCGAAGCUUCAUGACUCGACCACGAAGAGUUGGGUCCAGAAUUUUGUCGAUUUAAGUUCCACGGCCAUCUCCGGCCUUGCUCCGGCAAGCAGUGUCUGUUCGAGCCUGGCCUCAACUCCUCCUGCUUAGAUCCAAGCCUUUCUCACCGUUUAGGUUCC
rnacentral:lncRNA from 1 species